AAAUAAAAUAGCAUGUGCCUUCAUAUAAGCCCGAUAAUACGGUUCGGGUGUUUCUACUAAGUUACCUUAAACAACUUAUCUAUGAUGGCAGAUAAACUGAAC
rnacentral:ncRNA from 1 species